AGUGAACGCUGGCGGUAGGCCUAACACAUGCAAGUCGAACGGCCGCACAGUAAGAGUUUGUUCUUAAGGGUGGCGAGUGGCGGAUGGGUGAGGAAUACAUCGGAAUCUACUUUUUCGUGGGGGACAACGUAGGGAAACUUACGCUAAUACCGCAUACGACCUACGGGUGAAAGCAGGGGUUCUUCGGACUUUGCGCGAUUGAAUGAGCUGAUGUCGGAUUAGCUAGUUGGCAAGGUAAAGGCCCACCAAGGCAACGAUCCGUAGCUGAUCUGAGAGGAUGAUCAGCCACACUGGAACUGAGACACGGCCCAGACUCCUACGGGAGGCAGCAGUAGGGAAUAUUCGGCAAUGGGCGCAAGCCUGAUCCAGCCAUACCGCGUGAGUGAAGAAGGCCUUCGGAUUGUAAAACCCUUUUAUUAGGAAAGAAAAGCAGCAGAUUAAUACCCCGCUAUUCUGACGGUACCCAAAGAGUAAGCACCGGCUAACUUCGUG
rnacentral:rRNA from 1 species